AGAAGUGCUUGGAGCUCGCGGGUGGGAGGAUCAGGAUGACUGCUGCUCCCGGAGCCCGACUUCAACUCCCACCGGGCAUAGGAGCCUCUCAGCAGCGCGAGGGGUCGCCCAGCCUGGACCUGGAACGCUUGCAGCACGACCGUCGCGCGCUUCCCUCCGGAACCAGCUCCCACCGUCACAGCCCCCUCCCUCGGCCGCUCCCGGCUCAGCCCAGGCUGGGGCGGGGCCUCGGAAGCAACUGCCCUCGCCCUAGCCAGGGCUGCCGCUUGUUAGGCCAAGUUUUCAAACGGCAAAAUCAACCGCGCUGAAGAGACUGUGCCUCCUUCUCUUCACUCCGCAUCCCAGACGCCUCAGAGAAACUACCUUUCAGACCUUCGCGGCCUCUCCUGCGCCCGCAGCGCCCGGCAGCUGGGGACCCGGGCUUAGCCACAUCGACCGCAACGUUCGCGCGCCACCUUGUGUCCAUUCCCUUAGCCUCCAGGGACAACCCGGAAACCACAUUUCCCAGCGUGCCGAGCGCCUCUGCGCAGGCGCAAAGAGUUUCCCUCGUUGCCAUGGGAACCUCGCCCCUUCUAGAGUCCUGGCCGCUUGACUCAGCUAAGCGCGAAGGUGUUGUUUCUUCCUGAGAUAUGGGAUGCUGGAGGACAUCUGGGGGCCACAAAUGCUCCUUCUCCUGGAGACGCAACUCAAGUUCUCAUGGAGUUUUCAUUGUCUCGUGCAAUGCCAUCGACCUUGAAUUUCAGCAUAGGACCCAUAUGAAGUGCCACUGUUAAUGCUGGGAGCACUCCAGGAAGCAGAGAAAAGUUAUGACAUUUCAAGAAAAAUCUGAAUUGCUUGAUAUGUUCCACAGAUUGAGGUCUGUACCUAUGGUUGCCCACUAUUUCAAUAGUCAGUGUAAGGACUAUUGUAAAAAAAAAAAAAAAAAAAAAUAAAGGAAAUUGGUGAAGCUAUACCAGGAGGUGUGAAAAUCUUGCACUUUUUGCAAAAUAACUUUUUAUCUCAUAUUGAAAAUUCACCUUUUAUGUGCAGGGUUGCUAUAAGAAAGGAGUACAUGUAGACUCUAAUAUGAUGUGAGAAAAAGUGAAGUCAUUAUAUGACAACUUAAAGCAAAAGGAAGGUGAGGAUCUAACGCUAGAGAGCUUAAUGCCAUCAAAAGAUGGUUUGGUAGUUUUAGAAAGAGGUUUGGCUUUAAAAAUGUCAAGAGAGGCUGGGUGCGGUGACUCAUGCAUAUAAUCCUAGCACUUUGGGAGGCCAAGAUGGGAGGACUGCUUGAGCCCAGAAGUUUGAGACUAGUCUGGGAAACAUGGCAAAACCCUAUUUCUACUAAAAAUCCUAAAAAUUAGCCAGGCAUGGUGGCAUGCACCUAUUGUUCCAGCUACUUGGGAGGCUGAGGUAGGAGAAUCACCUGAGUCCGAGAGGUCGAGGCUGCAGUGAGCUGUGUUAGUGCCACCGCACUCCAGCCUGAGUGAUGGGAGUGAGAUUCUGCCUCAAAAGAAAAAAAAAAAAGGUCAAGAUAACAGGAAAAGCACCUUUUACCUUCCAAGAGACAAAAGAUGAGUUCUGAGAUGCCAAUAAGAAAAUAACUGAGGCCCAGCGCGGUGGCCUACACCUAUAAUCCCAGCACUUUGGGAGGCCGAGGUGGGUGGAUUGCUUGAGUUCAGGAGUUUAAGACCAGCCUGAGUAACAUGGUGAAACUCUAUCUCUACUAAAAAAAAAAAAAAAAAAAAUACAAAAAAUUCACCAGCUGUGUUGGCAAAUGCCUGUAGUCCCAGCAACUCAGGAGGCUGAGGUGGGAGGAUCACCUGAGUCCAGGAGGUUGAGGCUAUAGUGAGCUGUGAUUGUGCCACUGUACUCCAGCCUGGGCAAUGGGAGUGAGAACUUGUCUCAAAAAAAAAAAAAAAAAAAAAAAAGAGGAGGAGAAAAGGUACCUGCCUGAACAGGUUUUUAAUGCAGAAGAAAAGAGAAAACCACAAAAGACCUUUCUUAGUAAGGAAGAGAAGUGAGCAGUAGGAUUUAGGAAAGAAAAGAGACUAACUCUAUUGUUUUGUGCAAAUGCAGUCAGGUUUAUGAUGAAGGCUGCCCUUAUCUAUAAAUCUGCUAACCCCCAAGCCGAAGGGAAAAGAAAAACACCAGCUGCCAAUUUUUUGGUUGUACAACAGGAAAGCCUGGACAACGAAAACCCUUUUUCUGAAUUGAUUUCAUUGAUACUUUGUCCCUGAAGUCAGGAUGUACCUUGUCAGUAAGGGGAUUGCCUUUUUUUGUUGUUUUUUGAGAUGGAGUCCUGCUCUGUCAUCCAGGCUGGAAUGCAGUAGCAUGAUCUCAGCUCACUGCAGCCUCCACCUCCUGGGUUAAAGCAAUUCUCCUGCCUUGGCCUUCUAAGUAAGUGGGAUUACAGGCACGCACCACUAUGCCCAGAGAAUUUUUGUAUUUUUAGUAGAGACAGGGUUUCACCAUGUUGGCCAGGCUGGUCUCAGACCCCUGACCUCAAGUGAUCCGCCCGCCUCGGCCUCCCAAAGUGCUGGGAUUACAGGCGAGAGCUACCACACCUGGCCUGGGAUUGCCUUUUAAAAUUCUCUUGUUAUUGGACAAUGCCCUUGGCAUUGAACCCCAUCAGUUCAAUACCGAAGGUGUCAAAGUGGUCUGCUUGUCUCCAAACACAUCGUCUCUAAUUCAGUCUCUAGAUCAAGGGGUUCGUAAGGACCUUAAAGGCUCAUUACACAUAUACAUGGUACUCUAUGGAAAGGACUGUCAACUCUAUGGAAGCGAACCCUGAUAGAACAUCGUGAAAGUCUGGAAGGAUUAUACCACUGAAGAUGCCAUCAUUGUUAUGGAAAAAGCCAUGAAAACCAUCAAGCCUGAAACAAUAAAUUCCUCCUGGAGAAUACUGUGUCCAGAUGUUAUGCAUGAUUUCACAGGAUUGAUGAUAAAGCCAAGCAAGGAAAUCAUGAAAAAGAUUGUGGAUAUGGCAAAAAAGAUGGGGUGAAGGGUUUGAUAUGGAUCUCAGAAAAAUUGAAGAGCUUAAUAGACACCACCCAAGACGAAUUAACAGAAGAUGACUCGAUAGAGAUGAGUGCUUCUGAACCUGUGCCAGAUGAAGAAGAAGAUGUAGAAGCAGCAGUGGCAGAAAAUAAUUAACAUUAGUCUAGAAGAAGGGUUCUGAUUAUUCAGGACCACUUUUGACAUUUUUUAUGACAUGGACCCUUCUGUGAUGCAGGCACUGAAACUCAAUCAAACAGUGGAAGAAGGAUUAAUACCAUAUAGCAGGGGUCCCCAACCCCCAGGCCACCGGAACCAGGCCAUAUAGCAGGAGGUGAGCAACGGGUGAGCAAGCGAACACAAGCUUCAUCUGCAUCUACAUCUGCUCCCCAUCACUUGCAUUCCCACAUAAGCACCACCUCUUGUCAGAUCACAGGAGAGCGAACCCCAUUGUGAACUGUGCGUGUGAGGGAUCUAGGUUGCCAGCUCCUUAUGAGAAUCUAAUGCCUGGUGAUCUGUCACUGUCUUCUGUCACCCCAGAAAGGACCAUCUAGUUGCAAGAAAACAAGCUCAGGGCUCCUACUGAUUCCACAUUAUGGUGAGCUGUCUAAUUAUUUCAUUAUAUAUUACAAUGUAAUAAUAAUAGAAAUAAAGCACACAAUAAAUACAAAGUGCUUGAAUCAUCCCGAAACUACCCCCUUAACCCCAUCUAUGGGAAAAAAGUCUUCCAUAAAACUAGUCCCUGGUGCCAAAAAGGUUGGGACUGCUGCUAUAUAGAAACAUUUUUAGAGAAAUGAAAAAGCAAAAAUGUCAGACAGAAGUUACAAUGUAUUUCCAUAAAGUUACACCAGAAUGUGCCUGCCUCUCCUGCCUCCCCUUCCACCACUUUUGCCUCUGCUGCCCCUGAGACAGCAAGACCAACCAUUCCUCUUCCUCAGCCUACUCAACGUGAAAGCGACGAGGAUGAAGACCUUUAUCACGAUCCACUUCCACUUAAUAGUAAAUAUACUUUUAUGAUUCCCCUGCCCUCCCCUCCCCUCCCCUUCUCUUUUUUUGAGACAAGGUUUCAUUCUCACCCAGGCCAGAGUGUAGUGGUGUGAUCUCAGCUCACUGCACUUCAGCCUCCUGGGCUCCCAGGCUCAAAGGAUCUUCCCUCAAAACUCCAUCUCCAG
rnacentral:lncRNA from 1 species